UGACGUAGAAGAUGCAGCAAAAUGAAAUCGGAUAUUCGUUCUGAACCCGGGAGCAUUGUUGACCGUCGAUCUUCUCUUAUCCGAACAUCUUUCCAUCAAUCAACAACCCUGCUGUGCAGUAGUGUAGAUUGGAAGAGUCGCAGAGGAGAUGAAUUGAGAAAAAGCGGUGAGGAAGAAGAUUCUCGUCCGGUUCCUAACCAGAUUAUUAGAAAGAGGGUGAGCUUUUACUCCUUCCUUUCCCUGUGACCCAUUCGGUUUGAAGCAAUAACCAAAGAAUAAUGAUGGAAGCUGGGGUUGAAAUUGCCGAUAGAUCUAAGCUGGCUGAAACAAAGGUAGUGGAAGAUGGGGUUUCUCAGUCGAGAGUAGGAGAGAGGGAUCGUCACGGGUUCCAUCGACCCAAGGAUUCUGAAGGGGAUGAUGUUUUUGAGGAAGCGGUGGAUGAGCAUCUUGAUGACCUCCAUGCCGUAUAUGAGACCCCAAGGGCUGGGUUGGGGCAAGUUUCUGUUAAUGGAGAUCAGAGUGUAGAGAGGGCUCGAGUUUUUUAUCCUUUUCAAGCUAAUGAAAGCUCUGAUGGAGGCCAUGAGGCUGACAAUUAUGAAGAGCCAAUUGACCUUCCUAGUGAGGCUCGGACUUGGAGCCCCGGAGAGGAAGAAUUGGUCGUUACCAAAAAGAUAGAAGAUUUGGUUGUGCUGGAGCUUCUUGAUGAUGUUAAGCUUGCUGCUGAUAUGGAAGAUAACCAGAUGGAAUUUGUAUCAGAAAAAUCUGUUAGGUUAGAGGAUGCUGGCUUGCCUAAUAAUGCUGAAACAGAUGUGGGUGAGGUGUCUUCUGCUGCUGCUGACAAUAACGGUGGAGAAAAUAAAUCAUUGAUGAAUCAGGAAGAGGUGGAUGGGAGGACUGUAGCACUUCUCGUGAAGCCCCAUACUGAAAUUUUGGCCAAGUUGGAGGAAACCCCUGUUGUUCAGGAAAAUGGUGAUGUUAUCCAUAUGGAAUCAGAUGGGGUUGAGUCUUCGCAACUAAGUGAUUCUAAUGAGCUUCCUGUGCAUCAAGACAAUGAACACAAAGGCAAGCAACCAGAGGACUCUUCAACUAACCAGUUAAUUUUUCUGAAAGAUGAGGUGGAGGGUCAACAAUCAGUAAUCCCAGUUCCUGUAGAAGCUUGCAAGGAUGAGGUGAACAGUCCAGAACCGGUAAUCCCAGCUCCUAUAGAAGCUUGCAAGGAUGAAGUGGAUGGUCCAGAACCAGUAAUCCCAGCUCCUAUAGAAGCUUGUAAGGAUGAGGUGGACAGUCCAGAAUCAGUUACUCCAGAACUACCAGGAGCUUCUACUUUUCAAAUUAAUGAGAAGAUUAACACUUACACUGCUGAAUCAGAUGAGACAGCUUCUCAAGAUUCUGAGCCUCAGUCUGUUGAUAGUAUUGAAAACUAUGACAACCCUGAAGAAGAGCCUGAGGAGCAGGAAACAAAAGAUCAGGGAGAGGAACAGUGGUUGGGAGGGAACAUAGAACCAGAAAUCCAGCCCGCAGUAGAUGUUAGUUCCAGUAACUCCUCGUCUCCUCCUCUGCCUGCUCCUGCUCGUCCAGCAGGUCUUGGAGGUGCUGCCCCAUUCCUGGAACCUGCUCCGCGUGCAAUACAACAAUCUCGGGUGAAUGGAUCUGUACCACAGCGUCAAGCACAGCUUGUUGAAGACCCCAUGAAUGGUGAGACUGAGGAGAAUGAUGAGACUCGUGAAAAACUACAGAUGAUCCGAGUGAAAUUUUUACGACUUGCUUACAGGCUUGGGCAGACUCCUCAUAAUGUUGUUGUAGCUCAGGUUCUAUACAGGCUAGGACUAGCUGAACAGCUUCGAGGAAGAAACACUAGUCGGGCAGGUGCUUUUAGUUUUGACCGGGCAAGUGCUAUGGCAGAGCAGCUUGAGGCAGCUGGGCAGGAACCUCUUGACUUCUCAUGCACCAUUAUGGUUCUUGGAAAGACUGGAGUUGGUAAAAGUGCGACUAUCAAUUCUAUAUUUGAUGAGGUAAAGUUCAAAACUGAUGCAUUCCAAAUGAGCACAAAGAAGGUCCAGGAUGUGGUAGGAACAGUUCAAGGGAUCAAGGUUAGGGUGAUUGAUACACCGGGUCUCUUACCUUCUUGGUCAGAUCAACGGCACAAUGAGAAGAUCCUGCAUUCUGUCAAGUGUUUCAUCAAGAAGAGCCCUCCAGAUAUUGUUUUGUAUCUUGACAGGUUAGAUAUGCAAAGCAGGGACUUUGGUGAUAUGCCAUUGUUGCGUACAAUCACAGAGAUAUUUGGACCGUCUAUUUGGUUUAAUGCAAUUGUGGUUCUGACCCAUGCAGCAUCUGCUCCGCCUGAUGGUCCAAAUGGUACUGCAUCAAGUUAUGAAAUGUUUGUUACUCAGCGUUCCCAUGUGGUCCAGCAAGCAAUUCGCCAGGCAGCAGGGGACAUGCGUCUUAUGAAUCCUGUUUCAUUAGUGGAGAAUCACUCUGCCUGUAGAACGAACAGGGCAGGGCAGAGAGUUUUACCAAACGGGCAGGUUUGGAAACCUCAUCUACUACUGCUAUCCUUUGCUUCAAAGAUUUUAGCUGAGGCAAACACACUUUUAAAGCUACAAGAUGGUCCACCUGGAAAGCCUUUUGCAACACGUCCACGGGUACUCCUAUUGCCGCACCUUUUAUCAUCUCUUCUUCAAUCAAGGCCCCAGUUGAAACUGCCAGAAGAACAGUUUGGUGAUGAUGAUGAUGAUAUGUUGGAUGAGGACUUGGAUGAGGAAACAGACUCAGAUGAAGAAGAGUCAGAUUAUGAUGAAUUGCCACCAUUUAAAUGUCUGACCAAGGCUCAACUGGCAGAGUUGAGUAAAGCCCAAAAGAAGGCAUAUCUUGAUGAACUAGAAUACAGGGAAAAGCUUUUUAUGAAAAAGCAGUUGAAGGAGGAGAGAAAGCAGCGGAAACUAUUGAAGAAAAUGGCUGCAGCUGCUAAGGAUUUGCCAGAUGACUAUAAUGAGAACACAGAAGAAGAAAGUGGUGGUGCUGCAUCUGUGCCGGUUCCCAUGCCAGAUCUAGCUUUGCCUACUUCGUUUGGUUCAGACAAUCCCACUCACCGAUACCGCCACCUGGAUUCCUCCAACCAAUGGCUUGUGAGGCCCGUUUUAGAAACUCAUGGUUGGGAUCAUGAUGUUGGUUAUGAGGGUAUAAAUGUGGAAAGAUUAUUUGUGGUUAAAGAUAAGAUACCUUUGUCCUUUUCUGGUCAGGUUACAAAGGAUAAAAAGGAGUCCAAUCUCCAAAUGGAGCUAGCCAGUUCCAUCAAGCAUGGUGAAGGUAAGGCAACUUCCUUGGGUUUUGACAUGCAGACUGUUGGAAAGGACCUGCUUUAUACUUUACGCGGUGAAACAAGAUUUAGCAACUUUAGACACAAUAAAAUGGCAUCUGGACUUUCAGUUACUCUUUUGGGUGAUGCCUUAACAGCUGGACUGAAGCUUGAAGACAAAUUGAUUGUUAAUAAAAGGUUCCGGUUGGUUAUGACUGGGGGUGCUAUGACUGGUCGUGGUGAUGUAGCAUAUGGUGGCAGUCUAGAAGCCACCUUGAGAGAUAGGGAUUAUCCUCUUGGUCGCACUCUAUCAAUUCUUGGGCUCUCUAUCAUGGAUUGGCAUGGAGAUCUUGCAAUUGGGUGUAAUGUACAAUCUCAGUUCCCUAUAGGCCAGUCUACAAACAUGAUUGCUCGGGCCAAUUUGAACAACAAGGGGGCUGGCCAAGUCAGUAUUCGUUUGAAUAGCUCAGAACAGCUCCAAAUUGCUUUGAUUGCCCUUGUGCCCCUAUUCAAAAAGCUUCUUGGUUAUUCUCAACAAAUGCAGUUUGGACAAUGAGGAACAACAUAUAUUAGCAGCUAUGCGGUAUUAGGAAAUAACUUCUGCAAUGACAUCUCUUAGUGCUUAGCAUCAAAUAGGAGCUCUAGCUACAAAUCUGGACAACCCCUGGAGAACCUUUAAGAGGGCAGCAACCAAUAAGUAAGAAUACAGACUUUGUAUCAAACAAUAAGGAGGUUUACAACCUGUAAUCCAAUCUGAAACAGUCUCCAAGCACCAAUUAACAAUUUAAAAUGGUUUUCAGGCAUCAGCCAACCAUGGAACAUUCAGGUAAUUAUGGAUUUCAAAUGUAAUCAAUUCUUAUCAGGUCAGACCCAGUUAGCCCAAUUAAUAAUCAGUAAAUUCUGGGUCUGGUUUAUAGACCCUAUACGGUCUGGUUUGGGACUGGAUCUACACAAUUUUCGUAUCAGUUCGACAUGGUCCACCCUGUCCCAGACCAUACCCAACUCAUUGAAAGCUCUGUUCAAAAGUUGAUGGCUUGGUUGAGUUGUACUAGGCCAUAUUGGUUGGUUGAAAUGUACUAGGCCAUGUUGGUUUCUAAGGGGUUCAUCAAAUUUAUGGUAUAGAUUAUGAAAAUGCUUACUUUCUAUUAGUUAUUAAGGUGAUCCUUGUGAAUAAAUUUGGUGUUUUACAUCACUUGGAUAUAAAAUAUUUUUUGCAUGAGGCCCCAAGGAAGAAGGAAGUUUACUCGACCCCUUGCUUUUAAUUUCUAAUGAGGAAAGAAAUGUGUAGGCUCAAAAGUUUGGCUUUGCGAGGAGACAGGCAAACCAAAUUUAUUUUGUAUUGGAUGUUUAUGUUGGUGACAUGUUAUUUCUUC